CGGGAUGUAGCGCAGCCCGGUAGCGCGCUUCGUUCGGGACGAAGAGGCCGCUGGUUCGAAUCCAGUCAUCCCGA
rfam:Sphingobacteriales bacterium 40-81 SCNpilot_expt_1000_bf_scaffold_3870, whole genome shotgun sequence.